rnacentral:rRNA from 1 species
AUCACCGAAGUCAAGCAUCAUUGGGCGCGGUCAGUACUUGGGUGGGUGACCACCUGGCAACACCGCGUGCCGUU